GCCCUAUUAAGCGGUGGGAGGUCCAUUUCUCCGGUGGUUGCCGGCGUGAUACUUCGAAGCCAAUGACAGCGUGCAAGGCGCAGAGGCCAGGCGACGCAUGCGUCCAUUUGUGCAGCAGCGGCGGCUGCAUCCUUCCGCACGCCGCCCCGAGAGACGGCGGCGUUCCAGCCAUGGCAUGCACGCACGGUGGCGGCCGUGCGGCCCCGAACACUGGCAUCAUUUAAGUGAGCCCAACAUCUCUUCUUUUCUUAAACUUCAUGCAUUAGGGUUCUGAUUUGGGAUUUCAUAAAUGGGGAAAAGAUUAUAGGGUUCCAGAAUUGGGGAUUCUCUAGGGUUUGGCGGAAUUGGUAUGUUGGUUUGUUUUCUUUAAUUUCGCCGAUUCAUCACGUUCUAAUGGCACCAAUAGGAGCUUAAAUCAGUGCUAAUCAACAUAUCUUAAUGAGGAAGUGUGGAAGAAUUAAACUAACAGAACAUGAUUGGUCAUAAUCAUUGGAUAAUUAGCACUGACCCAUGGCCAAUUAUACUUUAAGCAAAACCUCUUAACCCAAGAGAUUAAUCUUGACUUCAACAGAGGGCAAUUUGAAAAAACAUUAAUCAUUAACCUUUAACAGUGAUGAUCUGGACUUACUUAAGCACACUAACAUAAACAAAACAUCAUUAGGGAUCUAAUCUAGGCAUAUUAUGGCUCAAGAUACCAUUGUUAGACUUAAUCCAGUAGGAUAGAUUGGAUCUUAUGCCUAGAAUGCAGAUCGCCUAAUUGCAUGAGAACAGAGGGGUUGAGUGAUCUUACCACCAAUGGAAGAAGCCAUUGGUGUAGGCGAUGCGAAGUCCCGUGCCUGCUCGAUGCAGGCGUGAUGCAGGCUUGGGGUAGACGUUAGCAGCGGGUAGCGGCGUCCCUCCGGGCGCCACCGGCACUGCCCUGGAACAAGGGCAGAGGUAGGAGAUGAUCUUCCCGUUGUGCAGCGCUCCCCCAGAUCGGUUAGGGUUUUGGGAUGUGGGGAGCAGGAGUAAACCUUACGAGAACUCGUCUAGCGUAGGUGUCGGCUGCUCCCCCAUCUUUUUAUGUGCGCUGGCGACAGGGGACCAAAACCAUAGUUGGUUAGGGUGCCCCCGAUCAGGGCGCGUUAGUUGAGAUCGAGGGGACGAACGUUGGUUCCUGACUACCCUGUUUCUCUUUUUAACGUAACUUAUUUCUAGUCGUUUAUUUUCGUUUUGGCCCAUUGGGCCUCUAGGUCAAUACCAACAGAUAGAGGGCAAGUCAACAUCGCGCCACAAUGUUUCUCUCUUUAAUGUAACUUAUUUCUAGUCGUUUAUUUUCGUUUUGGCCCAUUGGGCCUCUAGAUCAAUACCAUCAGAUAGAGGGCAAGUCAACAUCGCGCCACAAUGUGGAAGACGAAGGGAUCAAACCUUCCUGAUGGUGGAUAAGAGAAGAGGAGGGUUAUCUGCAAUACCAGAUUUGAGUUGUUGACUAUGAUCCCACCUGUGAUCUCAGUCAUUAUGUUCCUUACCGAACUGGUGGGGACUUUCCAAGUUUCCAUUGGUUGUUGGUUUUCACGAGAUACUUCACCUGGAAUCAAUGUAGUAGCUGGUAUGUGGGUCCAUAUAUAUUGUGCAUGUGGGUCUUCUCCCGACAAGAAUCGGGGUCUGUUGGGCAACACACACUAUUGUAGCUAUCAUAUCAAUUGGUCAUUGAUGGGAAAGGCCAACGGUAGUAGUAUAAAUCUGGAUGAGACGGGACGGAGAGAGUAUGCAAUAGAUUAGUAGUGGGGAAUAGGAGACACCGGGAAUAAGAGCAUGGGUCUUGUUUCACUUCAUAGGUCUCUGAUGUAUCCCUAGGACUAGGGAUAGUUUUAGAUUUGAAUCCAAACACACAAUGCACGUUAGGCUUCAUUGGCAGUAGGUGCGGUAGGUGAAUUUGAAGGGAACAAACUCCUCCGCAUGUUGCGUUGAAGAAUGUAGUCACGUAAUUAAUUAACGUGCAUGUAACUUUUCAUAUACUAGCUGUUAUGUCGCUGACUCCCAAAAAGCCCGGCUCAAAUUAAUCUCUGCAGACCGAAGCAAAUUUCAAGGGGUGCGCUGAUGAGAUCAGGCCCCGUGGCCGCGCUUGUAUCAUGGUGGCAACUCCACAACAGUAGAAGCUAGUUAGAAAUAUGCCAUGCUUGCUUACUGAGCAGGUGGCUGAGCAGUGGACCUCGGCAGUCGUGGGCAACCACCAUGACGAAACUAUACCAGAUUGAAUUAUAGUUGUAUCAAAUGGCCAGUAGGACCAAGUAUUGUAGGUCAUGCGAUUCGGCGUUAGAUUUGUAAAAAUUUAAGCUACCACCGUCCUCUGCUCAUGUUGAAUGGUAUAUUUUUGUUAUUCUGCUUUUUUUUUAUUUCUACUUUGUUUUUCUGAAUCCGGGAAAUUAAAGAGACAUCCAAGAUCCAUUGAGUCUCUCUUUCGAUAGAUGUCACAUGUGACUUUAAUCUUAUGUUUUUCUUUUGGU
rnacentral:lncRNA from 1 species